GGAAAAGGAAAAUGCCUAAGGAGUCAAGUUCUACCAAUGCUGCAAGUGUGUUCUGUAAAUUUUCCUCCUUGCCUUCCCCAAAGACAAACAAACGGAGGUCCCAGGAGUUUAGGAGACUUUUUCACGGGCCUUUAUCAAGUCAGAGAAGAGCCAAAGGUGGGUGCCUGACCUGUGCUUGCUCUUUCUCCCUGUCCAUCACCCUGGCUCUAACCAGUGUCCUCUCUUUGGUGAUGCAAAAUGCAGAGGUGAUGGGAGAGGUGGCGAAAGCCCCUCUGGAGUGUGUAUAAUAUACAUCACUUAGACCGAAUACUUUUCUCCUUCAAAUAAAUAAAUAAAGCUCUUAAUGCAAAAUAAAGGGGGAAGGAAGAAAACCCCAUCCCACUGAGGCAGAGGGAACGCAGUAAAGUGAACACUGAUGUCCAUGUUAUUAGGCAUCAACUGCGGCCCAGGCACCUUCCACACUUUGUCUUCAAGAAUCAUAAACACUCUUCAGUAUAGCAUGACUACAUUGCAUAAAGUCCUGCUUCAAGAACCUAAGGAGGUGCUGUUUCUAGUAAGUCAAAUUAAUACAGAGAGCUGCCCCAGGCAGCGUAAUCCCAAUAGCUGUUGAGCUCAACAUUUGCCUUUAAAAUGAGAAUUAUUGACUCGGGGUGUAGACUCCAGUUCAAGCAUGAGUCAGGCAGCCUAGCAGACCUGGUUUGUUUUUAGCCAAGUGUCAGGGAGGGGGUGUGCUCAGCAGCAAAGCAUGUCACAGAGGAUGUAGACACACACACACACACACACACACACACACACACACACACUCACACACACACUCAUCUGGCUAGUACAGCUGGCCCAGGCGUCUCUCGCCUGACAGAAUAGGGGCUGUUUUUGACCCCUACGCAUCCUUAAGGAAUGUGAUCCUUAUAGAGUUCAUAGACAGGAAAUGACCUUGAGGAAAGUCACUUGAUGCCAUUCUUUGAAUGUUCUGCGGUCAGCUCCCAAAACUGUCAGCAAUGAGGUAGUGAGUGUCUACUUCAGCUGUACCGACAGGAGCCACCAAAGAAUUUCAGGAAAGAAAAAAGCUGGGAAUCAUCGCAAUUCACACCUGGACCAAAUAUGGCAGCUCCAGCAGGCAGCUGAUGGGCAUCCUGAACUAGGCAACCUCAAGCUCCAACUCGAGAGCUGACAUUUUUCAGUGUAGGACAUUGAAGAUCGUAUAUAACAUCUGUUUUCCCAUCUGCUUGGGCUGGGGGCAUGGCGGGGCCGGUCCUCAGAGCGUGAUAAAACUAGUCAGUCUUUGCUAAAUGCUGCUUCUCACUCUAUCUCUCCAACCCCCGUGAUGUGGUGAGAAUUCACCAGUUUCUAUCCAAACUGAAGAUUAAGGCCCAUACAAAGGGGUUCCCAGCCCAGCUUCCCUGUCACUGAGGUCACACGGAUGCUGAAAGGAGCAAAUGAGCAAGUUUGACAUUUAAUACAAAAGUGCUUACAUCAGAUUCUCAAAAGGCUUCAUUUCCCCCCAAAAAUUUAAGAAUCACUGCUAUAAUUUCUUCCUCGCAACUCCCAGCACUUUUCCCCCUUCUCCUUGAUAGCUGUCAUCACCUCUCCCGAAAUACCUGAGAACAUCCUCUCCGUCUCCCUGCCUUCAGCUGCCCCCUCCACUCCACUCUCCCCUCUGCUGCUAGAGUGGGCUCCCUGACACGUCAGUCCUUGCGAACAAAGCCUGGAUUUUAUUUGGGGGUCCACAACUCCCCUUACUGCCUUGUGUGGAGGAAAGAUGUCCUUCCUUCCAUCUCCUGAAGUGUGACUGAUUGGUCUAAGAGUCAGACUAUCUGCCUUAACAGUGCCUGGUUUAGUACUGAUCUGCGUCGCAAUUCUGAGCGUUGAUCUGUGAGAGAAGGUUUUUGGCUUUUUCUCAAAACAUUCUUCAUUGCUCUUAUCUAUAGGCCACGAAAUAUUCAUAACUAUCAUGGUACAAUCCCCCUGCCUUGCUCAUGGACGUUUGAUCCCCGCAAGACUGUAAGCUCAUGGAGCAGAACUUUCCUUACGCUACUUUUCAGUUCAUUCC
ensembl:lncRNA